rnacentral:rRNA from 1 species
AUGCUCGUACUUUCAGUAUGGAGCUGGGAGCGUCUGCCGAUCGGACGCCCGAAGGACGUAACGUACAAGGCUUAGGAUGACCACGACAACGAACUACAGCUCCCCACUUGGGCUUACAAGUGGGAUGUUGAUGUAGGGUGGAACCACUACAAGAAAUAUGUCAACUUAUGA